AACGAACGCUGGCGGCAGGCUUAACACAUGCAAGUCGAACGGUUGUAGCAAUACAGCAGUGGCAGACGGGUGAGUAACACGUGGGAACCUUCCUAGGGGUACGGAACAACUCAGGGAAACUUGAGCUAAUACCGUAUACGUCCGUGAGGAGAAAGAUUUAUCGCCCUUAGACGGGCCCGCGUCGGAUUAGCUAGUUGGUGGGGUAACGGCCUACCAAGGCGACGAUCCGUAGCUGAUCUUAGAGGAUGAUCAGCCACACUGGGACUGAUACACGGCCCAGACUCCUACGGGAGGCAGCAGUGGGGAAUCUUGGACAAUGAGCGCAAGCCUGAUCCAGCCAUGCCGCGUGAGGGAAGAAGGUCUUCGGAUUGUAAAGCUCUCUUGCCAGGGACGAUAAUGACGGUACCUGGAGAAUAAGCCCCGGCAAACUUCGUGCCAGCCGCCGCCGUAA
rnacentral:rRNA from 1 species